rnacentral:rRNA from 1 species
GAUGAACGCUGACAGAAUGCUUAACACAUGCAAGUCAACUUGAAUUUGGGUUUUUAACUUAGGUUUGGGUGGCGGACGGGUGAGUAACGCGUAAAGAACUUGCCUCACAGCUAGGGACAACAUUUGGAAACGAAUGCUAAUACCUAAUAUUAUGAUAAUAGGGCAUCCUAUAAUUAUGAAAGCUAUAAGCGCUGUGAGAGAGCUUUGCGUCCCAUUAGCUAGUUGGAGAGGUAACGGCUCACCAAGGCGAUGAUGGGUAGCCGGCCUGAGAGGGUGAUCGGCCACAAGGGGACUGAGGCACGGCCCUUACUCCUACGGGAGGCAGCAGUGGGGAAUAUUGGACAAUGGACCGAGAGUCUGAUCCAGCAAUUCUGCGUGCACGAUGAAGUUUUUCGGAAUGUAAAGUGCUUUCAGUUGGGAAGAAACAAAUGACGGUACCAACAGAAGAAGUGACGGCUAAAUACGUG